rnacentral:hammerhead_ribozyme from 1 species
GUCCAGUUGAUGAGUGCCAGAUAGGACGAAAUGCGCGUCCUGGAU